ACAACAACGUUCGGACCGUCGGUCUACCGAGUAAUAUCACCCGCUCGGUGGAAGAUCUUCCCUUUGUCGUUUAAG
rnacentral:pre_miRNA from 1 species